CAACACUCAUUACGUAGAAGGAAACAAGACACUUGAACUUUCCAUCAAAAAGUGCAUUGAUCAACAAGAAGGUAGGCUUGAGUUGACUCCCAUGGCAAAUUCGCAGGUUCGAAAUCGUGCGAAACCAAAGGAUUAGGGAUCAUGAGCAUGGUGUUGAGGAUCAGGUCCUCCAGGGCUAAGUCGUUUCGUGUCGAAUUCUUCUAUUCCCAGUCCUCGUCGCUCUCGGUGUGAUCCAACGUCGAGCAUAGCAUGGUGGUGAGGGUCAGGUCCUCCAGGGCUAAGUCGUUUUGAGUCGAAAUCAUCUAUUCCCAACCCUCUCCCCUCUCUGUGUGAUCCAAUAUCUGGCAUUGUAACCUUAGCGCGGCCACCUCGAACCAGUGUGGAUGAUAGCCUCUCGAUCUUCCGAGGUUCCGACCUCACAGCCAAGCUCAAGAUCAAGACCAAAACCAUGAAGCUUCUCCAGUUGGCCAUCUCUCUAAGAAGCCUCCUCUAGUGUGCUUCCUCU
rnacentral:lncRNA from 1 species